UCCCAGGUGGUCUAGUGGUUAGGAUUUGACGCUCUCACCGCCACGGGCGGGGUUCGAUUCCCCGUCUGGGAA
rnacentral:tRNA from 1 species